AUGUUCCCCGUUUUAUCUGGUUUUACGUGUCUGGUGAAAAGCCACUUUUAUUGUGGAUCCUAGAUGAAUACACAUCUGUAUCUGCACGUGCUGUCCG